CUCAUUCUUCUCAUUCUGGCAGAUCCCUGAUAGCCACACUGUUUCCAGCUUUUGGGUCUCCCCUGAAGGACAGAUCAAAGCUAGGGGAAUAAGACUCUGCAUCCCCCCUCCCUGGAGGUCCCACAGGCAACUCAGGUGGGUGUUCCUCGGCCCUCCCACACUGGGGUACCUCAGUGACCAAAAAGGGGGAAAGAACUAAGGCUCACUGGAUAGGAAACAGAUUCCCAAUGGAGACAGAGGAGCGGAGGGUCAGAUGCCAAGCCUUGGAGAAGAAGAUGAGGGCUUGGAGGACCCAGAAAACCAAGAUGACCUACCCCAUCUUGAGGCUGGUGACUGGACGUCCUGGCAAGAAGCCUGCCUACCAAUGAGGAGAUGGCACAAGUUGGGGGUGAGGUGGGGUGGAGAUGGGCAGCUCAGCUCUCGCUUCAUCUGAUUCCCAAACUGUUCCAUUCCUAGCCUUUCUUGUCUUUUAC